rnacentral:rRNA from 1 species
GACGAACGCUGGCGGCGUGCUUAACACAUGCAAGUCGAACGGUGAAGCCCUUCGGGGUGGAUCAGUGGCGAACGGGUGAGUAACACGUGAGCAACCUGCCCCUGACUCUGGGAUAACUCCGGGAAACCGGUGCUAAUACCGGAUAUUACCCUGCUGCGCAUGUGGUGGGGUGGAAAGUUUUUCGGUUGGGGAUGGGCUCGCGGCCUAUCAGCUUGUUGGUGGGGUGAUGGCCUACCAAGGCGACGACGGGUAGCCGGCCUGAGAGGGCGACCGGCCACACUGGGACUGAGACACGGCCCAGACUCCUACGGGAGGCAGCAGUGGGGAAUAUUGCGCAAUGGGCGAAAGCCUGACGCAGCGACGCCGCGUGAGGGAUGAAGGCCUUCGGGUUGUAAACCUCUUUCAGCGCCGAAGAAGCGUAAGUGACGGUAGGCGCAGAAGAAGCACCGGCUAACUACGUGCCAGCCGCCGCCGUAACAC